UGAAGAAUGAUGUGGUGAUCACUAGAAAGAGAUUUUUUAAAAAGUUCGUGGUGACAUGAGUAUGUUCACAGGCUCAGAGAUCAACAAAUGAGGGACAAAAUAAGACAAUGUCUGAGAAGAGGCUACUGGGUUGAUGAACUCUGUGAGAACAGAGCCGAUGGAGUAGUAAGAAGCAAAUGAAGUGGGAGUAGUAGAUUUCAGUUCUAAAACUCCUCUGCUUAGCUUAGGGCUCAAAAUGUGAGGUUUCUGAGAGGUUUCAGGCUGCAGCUUGCAGUUCAGAGAAGAAUGUUCACAAGAAAAGUAGGAUAAAGGAAGAGGAAGUUGACUUAAACCACAAUAGGCCUGGCUCAGAUUAGAUGGGAGGCUCAACUUCCUGCCAGAGGAGCACCAGUUCAUGUGAAGAGAAGUGAGAAAAUCUCCUUAUUUGUGAUCCCCCAAAACUUAGAAAUAAUUCUCCUGCUUUGGAGUAAAAAUUGAUAUGAUCCAGCCUGAAGGCAUCAAAAGACUAAAAUGAAGCUUUCAAGUGGCAUGCAGAUGGAAGAAAAAUUGGUUUGAACUCCAGCUCAGCUGAUUACUUGAAGGUCUUCCUAUGUUGCCUAGGCUGGAGUGUGGUUGCUAUUCAUAGGUGAUCAUAGUGCACUACAGCCUUGAACUCCUGGGCUCCAGUGAUCCUCCUGCCUCAGCCUCUCCAGUAGCUGGGACUACAGGGAAGGCAAUAAUCAUCCGAAAUGGGAAAACUUUGUGACUUUUGGUUGCUCUGAGAAGAAGCCUGGACAACAGAUCAAAAAGAAGAAGCCCUUUUCUGCUGUUAUUGCAAACUUGGCCUUUCCCAGCAUAGUUGGUGUUUGUGGGCUAAAGAGGAACUCUGAGCUCAGUUCCCUUUGCUCUCAUUUGAGUCCUCUGCAUAGAUGA
rnacentral:lncRNA from 1 species